CGCCCUUGAGUUUGAUCAUGGCUCAGAUUGAACGCUGGCGGCAUGCCUUACACAUGCAAGUCGAACGGCAGCGCGGGAGCAAUCCUGGCGGCGAGCGGCGAACGGGUGAGUAAUACAUCGGAACGUGCCCAAUCGUGGGGGAUAACGCAGCGAAAGCUGUGCUAAUACCGCAUACGAUCUACGGAUGAAAGCAGGGGAUCGCAAGACCUUGCGCGAAUGGAGCGGCCGAUGGCAGAUUAGGUAGUUGGUGAGGUAAAGGCUCACCAAGCCUUCGAUCUGUAGCUGGUCUGAGAGGACGACCAGCCACACUGGGACUGAGACACGGCCCAGACUCCUACGGGAGGCAGCAGUGGGGAAUUUUGGACAAUGGGCGAAAGCCUGAUCCAGCCAUGCCGCGUUUUUUUAUGAAGGCCUUCGGGUUGUAAACUGCUUUUGUACGGAACGAAACGGCCUUUUCUAAUAAAGAGGGCUAAU
rnacentral:rRNA from 1 species